rnacentral:tRNA from 1 species
AUUUUAUUAGCAAACAAAUGCAUUAGAAUUAGAAUCUAAUAAAACUAAA